rnacentral:rRNA from 1 species
ACGGAAGGCAGCAGUCGGGAAUAUUGCGCAAUGGAGGAAACUCUGACGCAGUGACGCCGCGUGCAGGAAGAAGGUUUUCGGAUUGUAAACUGCUUUAGACAGGGAAGAAACAAGACAGUACCUGUAGAAUAAGCUCCGGCUAACUACGUGCCAGCAGCCGCGGUAAUACGUAGGGAGCAAGCGUUAUCCGGAUUUACUGGGUGUAAAGGGCGUGUAGGCGGGACAUCAAGUCAGAUGUGAAAGCACGAGGCUCAACUUCGUGUCUGCAUUUGAAACUGACGUUCUUGAGUGUUGGAGAGGCUAACGGAACUCCUAGUGUAGCGGUGAAAUGCGUAGAUAUUAGGAAGAACACCAGUGGCGAAGGCGGUUAGCUGGACAAUAACUGACGCUGAGGCGCGAAAGCGUGGGUAGCAAACAGGAUUAGAUACCCUGGUA